CCUACGGGGGGCAGCAGUGAGGAAUAUUGGUCAAUGGACGAGAGUCUGAACCAGCCAAGUAGCGUGAAGGAUGACUGCCCUAUGGGUUGUAAACUUCUUUUAUAUGGGAAUAAAACGUUCCACGUGUGGGAUUUUGUAUGUACCAUAUGAAUAAGGAUCGGCUAACUCCGUGCCAGCAGCCGCGGUAAUACGGAGGAUCCGAGCGUUAUCCGGAUUUAUUGGGUUUAAAGGGAGCGUAGGUGGAUUGUUAAGUCAGUUGUGAAAGUUUGCGGCUCAACCGUAAAAUUGCAGUUGAAACUGGCAGUCUGGAGUACAGUAGAGGUGGGCGGAAUUCGUGGUGUAGCGGUGAAAUGCUUAGAUAUCACGAAGAACUCCGAUUGCGAAGGCAGCUCACUGGACUGCAACUGACACUGAGGCUCGAAAGUGUGGGUAUCAAACAGGAUUAGAUACCCCAGUAGUC
rnacentral:rRNA from 1 species